UGGGGGAUUUUGCACAAUGGGCGCAAGCCUGAUGCAGCGACGCCGCGUGAGGGAUGAAGGCCUUCGGGUUGUAAACCUCUUUCGCUGGGUUGAAAGGCCAUGCUUUGGGUGUGGUUGAUUUGAACUGGUAAAGAAGUACCGGCUAACUACGUGCCAGCAGCCGCGGUAAUACGUAGGGUACUAGCGUUGUCCGGAUUUAUUGGGCGUAAAGGGCUUGUAGGUGGUUUGUCGCGUCUGUCGUGAAAUCCUGUGGCUUAACCAUGGGCUUGCGGUGGGUACGGGCAUGCUUGAGUGCGGUAGGGGAGUCUGGAAUUCCGGGUGUAGCGGUGGAAUGCGCAGAUAUCAGGAGGAACACCGGUGGCGAAGGCGGGUCUCUGGGCCGUUACUGACACUGAGGAGCGAAAGCGUGGGGAGCGAACAGG
rnacentral:rRNA from 1 species